rnacentral:misc_RNA from 1 species
CAAGAAGCGAUAAGGCUACUCUAAAACCAUUGCGAACUAUCCAAGUGCUCGGCGGGGCUCCCUCACGGCGGACCGCAGCCCCUGCCUCUCAGGAGGUAAGGGAAGCCGGGUACGAAACUCUUGUUAUUAUAGUGGUAUCUCUGAGUACUUAUUAACAAUAAGUA